GAAAUGGAGCUAGCUACCUUUACUCCAAAAUGAGGAAGCAGAGAGGGUAAUUAACCCGUCAGCUGGUUCGUGGAUACCUCUGUGACGUACACUUUAGAUAUAUAUAUAUGCGCAUCGUAAGGGUUUGCAUGACCUCGGGGACGUGUUUGCCUUCUUCUGUCCUUGUUUGGAUUGAAGGGAGCACCUCCACCUCCUGUA
rnacentral:pre_miRNA from 1 species